rnacentral:rRNA from 1 species
AGUGGGGAAUAUUGCACAAUGGGCGCAAGCCUGAUGCAGCCAUGCCGCGUGUAUGAAGAAGGCCUUCGGGUUGUAAAGUACUUUCAGCAGUGAGGAAGGCGGGUACGUUAAUAGCGUGUUCGUUUGACGUUAGCUGCAGAAGAAGCACCGGCUAACUCCGUGCCAGCAGCCGCGGUAAUACGGAGGGUGCGAGCGUUAAUCGGAAUUACUGGGCGUAAAGCGCAUGCAGGUGGUUCGUUAAGUCAGAUGUGAAAGCCCGGGGCUCAACCUCGGAAUUGCAUUUGAAACUGUCGGACUAGAGUACUGUAGAGGGGGGUAGAAUUUCAGGUGUAGCGGUGAAAUGCGUAGAGAUCUGAAGGAAUACCGGUGGCGAAGGCGGCCCCCUGGACAGAUACUGACACUCAGAUGCGAAAGCGUGGGGAGCAAA